rnacentral:rRNA from 1 species
UACAGAGACCCCAAGCGUUAUCCGGAAUCAUUGGGCGUAAAGGGUGUGUAGGUGGCGUUACUAGUCUUCUGUCAAAGCCCGGGGCUCAACCCCGGAUCUGCAGAAGAAACGGUAAUGCUCGAGGAUGCGAGAGGUGAAUGGAACUCAUGGAGUAGGGGUGAAAUCCGUUGAUAUCAUGGGGAACACCGAAAGCGAAGGCAAUUCACUAGUGCAUUCCUGACACUGAGACACGAAAGCGUGGGUAGCGAACGGG